rnacentral:tRNA from 4 species
CGGGGUGUAGUAUAUUGGUAGUACGCGUGCUUUGGGAGCACGAAGGCCGAGUCCGAUUCUCGGCACCCCGACCA